UGAGGAAUAUUGCACAAUGGGCGAAAGCCUGAUGCAGCAACGCCGCGUGCGGGACGAAGGCCUUCGGGUCGUAAACCGCUUUUCUGGGGAAAGAGCAAGGACGGUACCUCAGGAAUAAGUCUCGGCUAACUACGUGCCAGCAGCCGCGGUAAAACGUAGGAGGCGAGCGUUAUCCGGAUUUACUGGGCGUAAAGCGCACGCAGGCGGCUCUGUGAGUCGGACGUGAAAGCUCUCGGCUUAACCGGGAGAGGCCGUUCGAUACUGCGGGGCUCGAGGUAGGGAGAGGAAUGCGGAAUUCCCGGUGUAGUGGUGGAAUGCGUAGAUAUCGGGAGGAACACCUGUGGCGAAAGCGGCAUUCUGGCCCUCACCUGACGCUGAGGUGCGAAAGCGUGGGUAGCAAACAG
rnacentral:rRNA from 1 species